UUGGCCGUGAACUUCCACUGGUCGUUCGACUCCAGCAGCACCUCGUAGCUGUAGUGGUCGCCAUCGGCCAGCACCUCGAGCACCGUCUGCUCGCCGUACUUGCUGGUGCCGAUCUUGUUCACCUUGCCGUGAGCGAUGAGGACGAUCGAGUCGGCCUCCUGGCCGGCCUGGGUGAUGACCUCACCGGCCUUGUACUCCUUCUGCUCGAAGCGGUUGGCCAGGGCGAGCAGCACCUCGGGGUCCUCGAAGCCACGCAGCAGCGGCAGCUCGCGGAGCUCCUGGGGGAUGACCUGCACCCGCGCGCCCGUGCUGCUGAAGGACACGCGGCCAUCACCCACGUUGUAGCUCAGGCGCCGGUUGAGCCGGAACACGCCGCCGUUGACCUGCACCCAGGGCAGCAGCUUGAGCAGCCACCGGUUGGAGAUGCCCUGCAUCUGCGGGGCGGACUUGGUCGUCGUCGCCAGCUGGCGCGCCGCUUCCGUCCCGAGGCUCAUCUGCUGCUUCCU
rnacentral:antisense_RNA from 1 species